rnacentral:rRNA from 1 species
GUAACACGUAGUCAACCUGCCCUGGAGACAUGGACAACCCCGGGAAACUGGGAUUAAUCCGUGAUAGGUCAUCUCAUCUGGAAGGAGAGAUGGCUUAAAGGGAUGCGCGGGCUUCUUCUGCGUAUUUGCUCCAGGAUGGGACUGCGUCCGAUCAGGCUGUUGGCGGGGUAAUGGCCCACCAAGCCAGUAACCGGUACGGGCCUUGAGAGAGGUGGCCCGGAGAUGGACACUGAGAGAAGGGUCCAGGUCCUACGGGGCGCAGCAGGCGCGAAACCUUCGCAAUGCGCGCAAGCGUGACGAGGUUAAUCCGAGUGAUUUCCGCUGAGGAGACCUUUUGUCUGCUGUAAAUAGGCAGGCGAAUAAGGGGAGGGCAAGCCUGGUGUCAGCCGCCGCGGUAAUACCAGCUCCUCGAGUGGUCGGGGCGAUUAUUGGGCCUAAAGCAUCCGUAGCCGGUUCCGUAGGUCCUCUGUUAAAUCCAACCGCCCAACGGUUGGCCUGCAGAGGAUACCGCGAGACU